rnacentral:misc_RNA from 1 species
GGCCACACUAAAGGGGAGUGAAAAUUGAUUUUCUGAUAAAAAUUUUCGCUUGAAGCUCCAGCAUCGUCCACUGUCCAUGUAUAUAUCUUAUAUUUGCAUAUAAAUAUAUAUAUUAUACCGACUUGGACUAACCAUCAGAUAGCGCACAAGAUGAUUGGCGGCCUGUUCGUCUACAACCACAAGGGCGAGGUGCUGAUCUCGCGAGUUUACCGCGACGACAUCGGUCGGAAUGCCGUGGACGCCUUUCGGGUCAACGUCAUCCACGCCCGCCAGCAAGUCCGCUCGCCAGUGACGAACAUUGCGAGGACCAGCUUCUUCCACAUCAAGAGAGCAAACAUUUGGCUGGCGGCUGUGACCAAGCAGAAUGUGAACGCUGCCAUGGUCUUUGAGUUCCUUCUGAAGAUCAUCGAGGUGAUGCAAUCCUACUUCGGCAAGAUCUCCGAGGAGAACAUCAAGAAUAACUUCGUGCUCAUCUACGAGCUGCUGGAUGAGAUCCUCGACUUUGGCUACCCGCAGAACACGGACUCCGGCACUCUGAAGACCUUCAUCACACAGCAAGGCAUCAAGUCGGCCACCAAGGAGGAGCAGAUGCAGAUAACCUCGCAGGUCACCGGCCAGAUUGGCUGGCGUCGCGAGGGCAUCAAGUACCGGCGCAACGAGCUUUUCCUGGACGUAUUGGAGUACGUGAACCUGUUGAUGAGCCCGCAGGGUCAGGUUUUGUCUGCCCAUGUGGCCGGCAAGGUGGUAAUGAAGUCGUACUUGUCGGGCAUGCCCGAGUGCAAGUUCGGCAUCAACGACAAGAUCGUGAUGGAGUCUAAGGGACGCGGCCUCUCUGGAAAUUCAGAGGCGGAAACCUCACGCUCCGGCAAACCCGUUGUGGUCAUCGAUGACUGCCAGUUCCAUCAGUGCGUCAAGCUAAGCAAAUUCGAGACGGAGCAUUCGAUCAGCUUCAUCCCGCCGGACGGGGAGUUCGAGCUGAUGCGUUACCGUACCACCAAAGACAUUUCGCUGCCAUUCCGAGUUAUCCCGCUGGUGCGGGAGGUGGGUCGCACCAAGAUGGAGGUUAAGGUUGUGCUGAAGUCCAACUUUAAGCCCUCGUUGCUGGGCCAAAAGAUCGAGGUGAAGAUACCAACCCCGCUAAAUACAUCGGGAGUGCAACUCAUCUGCUUGAAAGGCAAAGCCAAAUACAAGGCAUCGGAGAACGCGAUCGUGUGGAAGAUUAAGCGCAUGGCGGGCAUGAAGGAGACACAGCUGUCCGCGGAAAUCGAGCUUUUGGAGACGGACACCAAGAAGAAGUGGACCCGGCCGCCCAUCUCCAUGAACUUUGAGGUGCCGUUCGCGCCGUCCGGCUUCAAGGUACGCUACCUGAAGGUGUUCGAGCCCAAGCUCAACUACUCCGACCACGAUGUGGUCAAAUGGGUGCGCUACAUCGGACGCAGUGGAUUGUACGAGACGCGCUGCUAGGGCGCCCAAGCAUCGCCAUCACGGAGCAAGAGUAUCACAGUUGAAUUUAACGAAAUGAAGAAGAAUGGAGAACGUGUUACCGCAUCUAUUGUUCCAGCAAGUCCGGAGGACGCCCGAGUAGCGGGUCCACCCCGGACACCCCAUGCCGUAUACCGCACACACUGCCUCCGCGAGCACUGGAUAUGCGGGCGGGGCGUGUUCCCUAUAGACAUACCACUACUAGGUACUAUGAUUUACUACCCUACUAUGUAAUUGUAAACUAUGUUGUUUUUAAAUGCGUCGCGGGACGCCUCUCAAAUCUCACGCUCACGUUUCACAACUCUAAUUAUUAUUUGUAUUAUCGUAUUAUAAAUAUAUAUAUAUAUAUAUUAAUCAUUAUUUUCAUUGUGCAAAGAACAAAGGCGAUAAAUGCAACUAAGCGUAUUUAAUAGACCAAAACUCUGUCAGCGCUAUCAAUAUUGAUAUU